AAAGGCAAAUUUGUAAUUUUAUUUUAGACAGAUGCCAAUUUUUUUACCUGAUAAGUUGCUGAGCAAGUUGUCAUCUUCUAAUCAGAACUCACCAAACUCCGACACGACUCGACUGUUCAGAGAACUGAAAACCCUCUCUCUCAAUCAAUCAUCUCACCAUGAUGCAGUGGCCAGUUCAUAUUUGGUCAAAGAACGGUUGAUGAGAUACAUGUUUCACAAAACUUGUUGCUAAUUCAGUUAACCAAUUGGUGGUCAUUUGGAUCAUUGAUGGCGGAACUCUUGGGACCAAGGUUGUACAGUUGUUGUAAUUGUCGAAACAAUGUUGCCCUUCACGAUGAUGUCAUUUCUAAAGCUUUUCAGGGAAGACAUGGUCGUGCAUUUUUGUUCUCCCAUGCAAUGAAUAUUGUUGUGGGGCCCAAAGAGGACAGGCAUCUCAUGACUGGUCUCCACACAGUUGGUGAUGUUUACUGCUGUGACUGCCGCGAAGUGCUGGGUUGGAAGUAUGAACGAGCUUAUGAGGAAUCACAGAAGUACAAGGAAGGGAAGUUCAUACUAGAGAAGUCAAAAAUCGUCAAGGAAAACUGGUAGUCCACCAAAAUAUCCCUGGUUCAUCUGGCCUUAUGUUGGUAAAAGUAAUCUCAUCAGUGUUACAUUUCUCUAUUGUGGAUUUAGAUUCAAGAAUGUUUGUGUUUGUGGUGCUCUUCAUCGCACGUGUACUUUCAGUUAUAGCAUCCCAAUAUUACAAGCGUAAUAUAUAGCAUGCUAAUAUUACCAGUCAUGGGGAUGUACUUCUCAUCAAGCAGUUGGAACAUAGCAACUGUACUCCCUCACAAUUUCUGCUGCUUCUACUUGAAUUGCAUAUGUACCCGCAAGUGCUUAGUUGUUGGUUGAUUUUGUUCAUGGUUGGUUCGACACGCCUUAGUAAAAUUGAGUGCUCUGAUUUAAGAUCUUGUCUAGAUAAAGCAUCUGUACAGCUGAUUUGCUCUUGUUCUGCUCUUCUUGUCCAUGUGUGUGCGCGCGCGCGCGCCGAGAUAGGUGGUUCUCGGCAUGCAUCCAAUAAUUUUAUGUUGUAUGACUACUGUGGACACGGGAUGUACGAUAAUCAAAGACUUUGAGAUAAAAUAUGGUGGGUUGAUGUUAGAAAAGCGCUCAUAAUUGGAAAUCUCGGGAAGAAUUCAAGAGUGUUACUACUGUACAGCAACAAAUGUGCCAGAUAGAAUUGAAAUGCUUGAUGUUUUAAUCCGCAUGAUUGCUUGCUUUUGACAACCCAACUGAGGUGGAUGGAUGUCGCUAUAAGAUUAGUAAACAAUCUGAAUGAUGCCCUCUGGAUAUGAAGUCAUAUUGUUAGCGACCAGUGUGAAUUUACCGGAUUGGUAAACAAAACCAAAUGGGA